rnacentral:rRNA from 1 species
UGGGGAAUCUUCCGCAAUGGACGAAAGUCUGACGGAGCAACGCCGCGUGAGGGAAGACGGUUUUCGGAUUGUAAACCUCUGUCUCUGGUGAAGAUAAUGACGGUAACCAGAGAGGAAGCCACGGCUAACUACGUGCCAGCAGCCGCGGUAAUACGUAGGGUGCGAGCGUUAAUCGGAAUCACUGGGCGUAAAGCGCUCGUAGGCUGUUUGUUAAGUCAGAGGUGAAAUCCCACGGCUCAACCGUGGAACUGCCUUUGAUACUGGCAGACUAGAAUCCGGGAGAGGGUGGCGGAAUUCCAGGUGUAGGAGUGAAAUCCGUAGAUAUCUGGAGGAACACCAGUGGCGAAGGCGGCCUGCUGGGCUUUAACUGACGCUGAGGCUCGAAAGCAUGGGUAGCAAACA